rnacentral:rRNA from 1 species
CCUACGGGAGGCAGCAGUGAGGAAUAUUGGUCAAUGGGCGUAAGCCUGAACCAGCCAAGUCGCGUGAGGGAUGAAGGUUCUAUGGAUUGUAAACCUCUUUUAUAAGGGAGUAAAGUGCGGGACGCGUCCUAUUCUGUAUGUACCUUAUGAAUAAGGAUCGGCUAACUCCGUGCCAGCAGCCGCGGUAAUACGGAGGAUGCGAGCGUUAUCCGGAUUUAUUGGGUUUAAAGGGUGCGUAGGCGGCCUUUUAAGUCAGCGGUGAAAGUCUGUGGCUCAACCAUAGAAUAGCCGUUGAAACUGGGUGGCUUGAGUGUGUUAGAGGCAGGCGGAAUGCGUGGUGUAGCGGUGAAAUGCUUAGAUAUCACGCAGAACCCCGAUUGCGAAGGCAGCCUACCGGGGCUUGACUGACGCUGAUGCACGAAAGCGUGGGGAUCGAACAGGAUUAGAUACCCCAGUAGUC